rnacentral:tRNA from 1 species
CGAUGCGCCGCGGUCGCGAGAGGCUUCAACCCUUCGGUCCGGCCCGUCAGUUAGCCUUGAGUGGGUUCGAAACUUUUCCUCCUCCCCGC